UAACCUUUGUUAGAGCAUCAUUAUCCUUAAAACCCCAAAUAGGAUUUCUUAAUUUUUUUUUUUUUUUACUUUUUCAAAUUAAAAAAAAAAAAACGAAUCAAUCGUGAGCCGUCACGUGUUAGUGGAGCCCGCGAACAGUGUAAAAAACCCUUAAGAACCGAUUACUAUUUAGUAGUUUUUGUAACCGGUUUCUUUAAAAAAAGUGGGUCCUACGCGGGACCCACACGCUAAAAAACCAUCUAGUAACCCCGGAUAAAGAUGAUCUUAGGAACGUACCUUAGUUUUCUAGUGUUAAACACGUGGUCUAUGAUACUAAUACGUACCCAGCUGAUUUUUUUUUUUUACGAAACCUGAUUCUUUCAUAGCCAGAAAAUUUGCAUUAUCAAUUGCAUUAUCAACAACAAAAUCCAAAACUUCUUUUAAGAAUCUAUUUUUUAGGCAUCACACCUUUCAAUAACAAUAUUUUUCCUUUUGUAAAUCAAGUAUCAAAAUUAUGCAAAGAUGCUUUCAAGCAUUUCUUCACAUCAUUAAUUGAAUGAAAUCAAUAUAUUUUGAGUAAGACCAGUUCAAUAUUGUUGAAGGUCGUGUCACUAUAUUGAAUCAACAAACAUAAUGUAGACUCUUUAAAAAAACAUAAUGUAGACUCUAGAAAACAUUUUUUAUAUAUUUCUAACAGGUCUGAGUUGUAGUCAAUUUUGGCACAUAUAUAUAUAUAUAUAUAUAUAUCAAAAUCUGGAAAAGAUUCUACUGUAUUUUAUUAUUCUCGAGCAUGAACGCUUGUCGAAAUGUUUUAUUGUUUUCCAAGAUUUUGGUGUAUAAUUGUAAAUAGGACCCGAGCCAGAAUUUCUUAGGGUUUGCUGAAUUAUUUCCAUAAAUAAGUUAGAGCGCAAAGAGUUUUAGUAGAAUUUCUACAGAUUAUUUUAAAAAAUAGAAAAAAGAAACUGAAAAAAGUUCUCAACAGAUAAUUUUUGAAAGAUCCACAUGAUUCGCAAAUGCCACAUAUUUUUUUUUAUUGUUUUGUUUUUAAGUAAAAUAUAAUUUAAUUAUUUAUAAAACAUUAAAAUAUUGGUUUAAUAAAAACUCAAGUGGGGUUCUGAGUGUUAAAAUUUAUAAGAACACCCGCAGCAAAGGUCUCUCUUGAAAGUCUCUAGCAAUUUAUACAUUAAAAUAAAUAGUAAACUAGGAGAAAGAAUCAAAAAGGUGGAGAGUUAAGAUAGAAACGAUUCUUUAGGACGAAUCGAUUCUCUCAAAUGUAAGGGCCUUUUCUGCAUGUGUCACAUUACUAUUAGUUUGGGUUUUUUUGUUCCAUUUAAAUAACAAUUAGUUAAUUUAGUCUAUUAUUAUUAUUUUUAUGAGUUACUUUUCUAACCACUAAUGAAGCUCUAAGAUUCAAUCCAAUAUUCAGAUAAUAUUUUUUUUCGGGAGAGCACCACUAUAUCCAAUUGGAUGAAUAUAACUAAUUGAAUUAUCAGUUUGUAUGAUUAAUAUAUAAAUAUAUAUGUUUAAUCAUAUUGAUGGGCAAAACGCUCCAUCUUCUCUCUUCUCCAAAAACUUUCAGGCUUUCAGAUUUGCAGCUCCGGCGGCUUCCGUAGCGUCGGAGCUGUGCUUUUAUGUUUGUAAAUCUUCUCAGUGUGGUUAUUUUAAGAUCCGUCUUGUAUCUGUUUUUUUUUUCCUUUUUUCUAUCUCAGUUGUAGCUAUCUGCUUGUGUCAAAAGUGUAAUUCUUUAGGUGUUGAGAAGAUCCUUCAGUAGUCUCUAAGAUGUGGUGUGGUUUGAUUUCUUCGUCGCUGCGGAGGCUCGCUUGAUUGAUUUGACCAAAUCUGUAUUUUUUCUGGUGUACGGUUGCUGGUUGAUGUCGUCUCUGAUGUGAGUUGUUAAUUCUUCCAUCAGAUUUGGUCAAAUCGUUAUCGUUUGAGUCGUUUGUGGUUGACGUUUUGGUCUGUAUUGCUAAUCUCUUUCUUAGGUUCUGGCCAUUCGAAGGAGCUCCUCUUUUGUAGUGUUGUGUCCUUACCAGAUUUCUUUCUGGUUUCGGAUUGUGUCUCCCCAUGGUUGGAGCUGUUGUUUCUGGGAAAAGGUGGUUCACAUAAUACCAUUUUCGCCGGCUUUUGUCUUCCCAUGGCUGGGGCUGUUGUUUCUGGGAAAAAGUGGUUCACAUAACACCAUUUUCGCCGGCUUUUGUCUCCAGGAAGAGAGCCUUGGAUUCAAUCUUUCUUCUCCAGUUUGGCUUCGCUAAUGGCGAAGAUCCGGCAUGUAUGCUCUCUGUCUCCAGAUGAUGCUCAUGCCUUCCAGUCUGAUGGGUGUUUCACGUGGUGGGAGGAGCUGGUAUCUUCCUCAUUGUCUCAUGUAUGGACUUUAAGCCUGGUUAAUUUGAAUGUUUUUCUGGUUUGAGAUAUGUUUGGCCUUUAUGUUUGAUAUAAGUGUUAGGCUUUAUUACUUUAAUAAAAUACUAGAUGACAAAAAAAAUCA